rnacentral:misc_RNA from 1 species
UUUUUUAUGUAUGUUCGGAGAUAACUUCUUCGUUUAUGAACCGAUUUUGAUAAUUCUUUUUUUGUUGGAAAGGAGAUAUUCAUAGUUUGGUACCACGAUAAGGAAACCAGGAUCUGAUGAUGGGAUCCCAGAGAAAUCGAGGGAAACUUUCAAAAAUCAUUCUUUGCUGGAAUGUAUCAAACAUAAUAACAGUCUAUCAAAACAAUUAGCGAAUUUAAAAGUCCAUAUCUGCUGACGUUCCCAAAUCCUAUCUGAAAUAAAAAAAUAACAGUACUCAGCUGUUAGAUUUCAGUUUAUUAACAGAUCCUGAAGGAAAUCCAGUGGUCCAAAAAUUAGAAUUUCCGCUAUCAACAAUGGAAGAUAUUAUUUUGAUAAAUUCAAUGAAAAAUUAAAAGGCCAAAAAUAUAAAAAUAAAAUGAAUAAACAUAUAUACUUUUCUCUUGAUGGAAAAAAUACUUUUACCCAUAAUAUGGGAAAUAUUACUCGUGUUUAUAUAACAAGAGAUGUCAUAAUUAUGUAGAAGUUAAAGCAACUUCAAAAAAAAGUUUUCAAAGAUACGACUUUUUCACUUCUAUAAAAAGUAUGUUAAUCAUUAUAUAGUGCAGGAUUACUAUCAUUGAUACCUAAUUAAUUAUUUCUUAAUUAUAUGUUAUUAUUUUAUACCUAAUAAUAAUUAUUUUUUACUAUUACUAAUUUAAUUACGUACAUGAUUAAUUUAAAUUUUGUAUUUAAGCUGCAGUAAGACAGAAAUUCGAAAAGAAUCAAGAAAGUAUUUUCGAUAAUAAAUUCCCUCAAGCAUUGUCUGCAGUAUUGAAUAAUGCUAAUAUAUUAAUAAAGAUUGGGAUGGGUACAGGGUAUUCAGGAUCAAAAAACUACCAUCUAAUGAAGAUAAAUAAAAACAACUAAUCGCUUUUAAUUUAUUUACUUUUUUAAAAUUUUUUUUUUUUGCCAAGCAAACAAAAAGAAAAAUUAAUUCAUAAUAUUUAAUAACAAUCAUUAUUAUUAUUAACUUUAACAUAAAAAUAAUUGAUAUUUAAAGUAAAAACAAAAAUAAAUAAUACAUUUGAAAAAAAUAAAUGGAAAUAAAUAUGUUUUUUUUUUUUCAAUCGGAUAAGUUUUAUUUCUGUUUAAGUGCACAAUAAAGUGUAUUGUUAUGUUAUGUUAAGUUAAAUAUAUAUAAUAUGUUAUUUUAAAUAUACAUAGUAUGUUAAGUAACAUAAUAUAUUUCUUUUUUUUUUUCUGACGUGACGUCUAAUAAAUCGAUUAACGCCGGCUUCGUUACGCUCAUAUGUAUGCUUGUGCCGCAUCUAUCUGAUCGGCCUAUGCAUCCGAGGAGAUGUUUUGUUACGACGGUUUGCAGACAACCAAGUUUUUUAAUAAACAAUUUUGUCAAGACUGUACAUUCGUGUUUUAUUUAAAAGGACCGCUCUGGGCAUACUCGAUUUGGAUCAAGCAACCAAGGACCGGACCGUGCAUGCCUGAUCAGGACUAGAUAAGGCAUGUAACGCAAAUGAUGUAUCUGGACCUGACCAGGGAAACCUGAUCAGGUCCAGAUCAGGUAUGACCUGAGAUCAGGAAAAC